CUGCAGCUGUGGGUCCCUCCAACUGUGUCACACAGUUUCAGAGAAAACAAAACUGAUUUUGAGGUAUUUCAGAGAAACAAAACUUAACUCUGCCUUAAAUAGCAGAGAUCAGGAGAAUGCUGAAGUGAGUCGGACUGAAGGACUCCUGGAGCGACUGGAGCAGGAGAUUGCUGAGCUGAGGAGGAGAGACGCUGAGCUGGAGCAGCUUUCACACACAGAGGAUCACAUCCAUUUCCUCCAGAGCUGUCAGUCUCUCUGUGCCCCUCCUGGACCUGGAGACUUACCCAGCAUCACAGUCAGUCCACACAUCUCUUUUAAGGCUAUGAGGAAAUCUGUCUCUGCCUCUGAGCGGAAAGAGGAAAUGGAGGAAGUCCAGAAGGGUUUGAAACUGCUCACAAUGGAUGAACCAGGUUGUUCCAUUUAACAGCACAAUCCUUUUUUAGUUAUAUAGUGUAUAUCUGAAAUCUUUUUCAGUGUCAACAUUAUGGCAGGUAAAUGGCAGGCAUUUAUAUAGCGCCUUUAUCCAAAGCGCUGUACAAUUGAUGCUUCUCAUUCACCCAUUCAUACACACACUCACACACCGACGGUGAUUGGCUGCCAUGCAAGGCCCCGACCUGCUCGUCAGGAGCAUUUGGGGGUUAGGUGUCUUGCUCAGGGACACUUCGACACAGCCCGGGCGGGGGAUCGACCCGGCAACCCUCCGACUGCCAGACGACUGCUCUUACUGCCUGAGCCAUGUCGCCCCAUCAUCCCCCAUCCUCCCAUUUCUCUCUUAUCUUCUCUCUCAUCUUAUACAUGUUUCUUUAUGUCCCGUUCUCUCUCUCUUUGUGUCCCAGCAGUGAAAGAAGUCCAUACUGUGGAGCUCAGGACCAGAGAGGAUUUCUUACAGUAUUACUGUCAGCUCACACUGGACCGCAACACAGCAAAUAACUGCCUCUCCCUGCCUGAGGGGAACAGAGAGGCUAACCGUAAAAGGAAGCCCCACUUCCGUCCUGAUGAUGUGAAGAGAUUUAACAAGGCUGCAGUGCUGUGCAAACAGCCUCUGUCUGGCUGUCAUUACUGGGAGGUGGAUUGGAGUGGGAAAGGCAGAGUUAAUAUGGCAGUCGCAUAUGAAGAUAUCGACAGAAAAGCAGGGGCCCUGGGACAUGAUGACAAGUCCUGGAGACUGCUUUGCAGUGACACCAACUGUGGUUUCUGGCACAACAAUAAGCAAACUGAACUCACUGAUUCCCCCUCCUCCAGAAUAGGAGUGUACCUGGAUCACAAGGCAGGGAUUCUGUCCUUCUACAGCGUCGCUGGCACAAUGACCCGCCUGCACAGAAUCGAGACCAAAUUCACUCAGCCCCUCUAUCCUGGGUUUUGGCUUGAUGAAAACUGUUCUGUAAAACUGGUUGAUCUGGAAUCAGAGCCAGAGAAGAAGGCACUGCAGCCAGAUAAAAAGGAGAAGUAAAUGAACCAAUAAAGUUCUGAUUGUUUUGCUUGUAACCUGCAAGAGUGAUAUACAUUCAUUUUUAAAAUUAUCUGCUUAUUUGCUCCUUUACACUGAGUGGUGACACAACUUAGAAUAUAAAUCAUAUCCGGUAUAUCAUAGCAUCUAAUCAUCUUAUAUCUCUCUAUAUAUUUUUUCUUUUUCAUUUUUUUAAUUUUCAUUUUUUUGAAAGAACCAUGUAACAAUUUGUUGGGUGUUCAUUACUUUAUAACUGAAGAUGUUUUGAAUUCAAUAAAAUGUGCAAAUCAUU